UACGGAGGGUGCAAGCGUUAUCCGGAUUCACUGGGUUUAAAGGGUGCGUAGGUGGGUAAGUAAGUCCGUGGUGAAAUCUCUGAGCUUAACUCAGAAACUGCCGUGGAUACUAUUUAUCUUGAAUAUUGUGGAGGUGAGCGGAAUAUGUCAUGUAGCGGUGAAAUGCUUAGAUAUGACAUAGAACACCAAUUGCGAAGGCAGCUUACUACCCGAAUAUUGACACUGAGGCACGAAAGCGUGGGGAUCAAACAGG
rnacentral:rRNA from 1 species